ensembl:lncRNA
CUUUGGAUUCAGCAGUUCCCUCUGCUGCAGUUGGAGUUCCCCAAGGUCGAUCUGAAGGGACCACGGGGCAGACUGCCUGGCCAGGGCCUGGAAACGGCUGUGUCAACCCAGGGCGAUGCCUUCAUUGGUGUGCAAGUGAGUUUGGAGCUGUGGAAAAUGAGAUGAGUCAAAGGCCAUGCUUGCCCGAGACCAACAUUUUCAGAAAGCGAGGAAAAGGAAAAGAAAGGGAAGAAGGAAAAAAAUGAAAGAUAAUAAGACAGAAAAGAAAGAGGAGGAGGAGGAGGAAGAGAAGAAGGAGAAAAGGGUGAAGAUGUUAGAGCGAGUCAAUGUUUACAGCCAGUAAAUUCUCCCUAACACCCCAAGAGCUGGGCCUGGGUAGAGAGCCAGUGAAUAUCUGCUCAUUUAGGCGACAGGGCCUUCCUUCGCCUCAGCCAGUCUGGUCCAUCUCUCCACUCUCGGACUCCAUUCGAACCCUCUAGACUGAAUUUUCCCCAACGGAUGGCUUAGACAUCACGAGGAGCACCAGCUGGAACCCUGUUUUUCCCCUGCCUGGCUCCCCAGUGGUGCAGCAUUUACCACGGUUUCCCUUUGCCUCUAGUGGAGCAAUGAUGGAUGAGGAAUCUCCUGAAAACUCCGUGCAGUGACUGCUCUGACCUUCUGAACGGCCUGGAUAGGUAGAAGCUGAUGCCAAUUUCAGUGAAAACUGACUGGGAAACGUCACUGUCGAAUCCCUUUCGAUAUCCCGGUGACCCCUGCUCCAACGUGGGAGCCGACCCAGGGCAGAGUCAAGAGCAGGACAGGCCGGGCCCUUCCCAGGAGACCCCGGCUACAUGCGCUAGGGGACUGGCUUCCGGCAGAGCUGGAGUAAGAGAACGAUAAUCUUCGAGAUUCAGACAUUCUCAUGGCAUCUGGAAGUUGUUGGUGUUUUUCAUGGGGGAAAGUUGCUGACAAACAUUGUCCCUGUAGAGGCGACUCCUAUUUUCUAGGUCUGGCUCCUGAAGGGUUGCCAUGGGGGGAAAAGGGAAUGAGAUCAGUGCUGUAACUGAACUCCUCUGCCUUCCUGGGCACCACUGUCCCCACCACAAAGCGUCGGUGAUGGUAACCAUGGAAGUAACUCCAGAGAAGCUCUGUCGGGCGGGGCAGCGGGAUGAGACAGUCAUGCAGGCAUGUUGGCAACACACAUGAUCCCAGCGUGCAGGGAGGCUGAGGCAGGAGGAUUACAACUUCGAGCCCAGCCUGGGCAACUUGGCCAGACUCUGUCUCAAAAUAAAAAAAUUAAUCCAGGAAUUUAACUCAGUGGUUUCGCCGCCUGCUGCACAAGCGCAAGGACCCAAGUUCGAUCUCCGGUACCAAAAAAAAAAAUUAAAGUAAAAAAAUUAAAAAAUGACUGCAGAUAUUGUUUAGUUUGCUCUACUUACGCUCUGUGUUCAGUCCCAGUACUAUAAAAAUCAAAUCAGUCAAAUUUUAAAACAGAUGAUGCAUGUAAUGCUAGUCUUAGUGCUAUGCCUGGAACAUUAUGUCUUCAGUAUACAGGCAGGUGUGGUGGUGCACACCUGUAAUCCCAGCACUCGGGAAGCUGAGGCAGGAGGAUCACCAUGAGUUUGAGGCCAGUCUGGGUUGCAUAGUGAGUUCAGAACCACCCUGAACUACAUAGCAAGACCUUGUCUCAAAAAACCAGAACAAAACAAAAAAUGAGUUUACAGUAUUCAACUGCCUUGGGAGGCCACAUCUGCUAAGUAAGUCCUUCUCCUUUAACACAGGGUUCUUACAUAAUUUUGGACUCUCUGAUGCCUGGA